AAGGCACCAAAGGGAAAACACCCCCACAGUGGAUUACAGGGUUAUGGGACAGGUCACUAGGAACGGGAAAUAAAACUCAAUGUUAGGUUUGGUCUGUAAAUUAUGCACCUUUCAGGAAAGGGGGUUGAAGGUCUCUUCACUCAAGGGGUUUUUUUUCCCAUCCAUUUUGCUAUUAAUUCUUAACUCUUGGUAGGCAGUUCUUUAAUGAGGUUGUUUGUGGCAGGUUAAUUUUCUCCAAUCUACUAAGCUCCUCAUUUUCCCUUAAGUGUGCUGUUGCCCAGAGCUUUCAGAAUUGUCCAUACUAGAAGAAAACAGAAUAAACAUGCUGAAGUUGUCUGGGUGGGCUUCGAAUUAAAGACGUUAUGUGGACAGAUAAACAGAGGGCCUCGGACAGAUGGGAGUGGGAGGGUAGGAGCCAGGCUGAGGUGAGGGCAAGAGGGAGAGAAUUCCGUCUUAGGAGAGCAAUGACCCUAGGAGUGUAAUAUAUUAAAUAUUGCAGCGAUCGAUUUCAAUACCCCAAGUGGACACGGGAAUAAAAAUUCACCAACAAGCUGAAGUGAUUAGGAAUGCUUUGUUGCGAGGGAAAAAUGUGAUUUUCUUCAAAUCCUUUUUGUUCAGGUUAGAAGAGGCCCAGACAAUCCAAAUGUAAGCCCCAGACUCCCAGUUUGGGAUAUAACCCUAAAGGUUAGUCAUAUCUCGAUGGUACUUCUGCAUAGUGGAAAGAUGAGCUGUGUACCAAGGAGGAUUAAAUAGCAGCCACAAUUAUGGGCUGGUGACUCCCUGAGCUUUCCUCCCAAAUCAGAGAAGAGGGCAUUUUGGAGAGCUUUCCCUGUGAGUUAGUCUUUGUUUCAGCUCUGGGACAAAGCAGUGGCUUGUACAAUUCUUCUUUCAUUAAAAUCGAAGGGGGGAAAAUACACAAUACGGUUUACAGAAGGUUGGCCUACCAUACCAAGAUGUGAAAACCGCAUUUCCUGCUAUGUAGGAGAAAAAUAUUUUCAGUGUCAUUCUAGGAAGAAAAGUAUGAAAUUGUCAUACACAUAGGCACAGAUACCUGCUACCACACACGAUUUUAUUACUGGUUUUCAAAUUGAGUAGGACUCUUGCAUUUAGAUCCUCAUGCCCUGAGCUGUUCUCUCUCCAAGUCCAGGAAUCUGCUUAGGGAUUUGGGGUAGUCAUUGUGGAGGCUGCUUGGAGCAGGGGGAUUGUUUUCAGUCACAGACUAAUGGGCAAAGCCUGGGCCUUACACACUGGGGACAGCAAGUCUGCUGCUAAGGACACAUUGCUGGAUGCCUGCAGGUAGCAGCAGCAGCAGCAGCAGUAGCAGCAGCAGCAUCGAUAGCAGCUGCCUCCUCCUUCAGUGUGGCCGGGCUACAAAUCUAGGAAAAAAACACAGCACUAUACAAAGGAUUUCUUUAAUGAGGAAGAGUUCCUCAGAUGGUGCGCUGGGGAUGCUCCAGCGUCUCCUUCCCUAUAAGACGCUUUCUCUUUACGUAGUUCUUUAUGUGAUAACUGGGCAUUGGAAAUGCCACACACACACACACACACACACACACACACACACACAAACAAACACACUAGCAUUCCUUGAUAACCCAGACACAGACAUCUAUUAGAAGGUCCGAAUAAAGCUGAAUUUCUGCAUUGGGCAGAAGCAAACCUCUCUGACACCCUGCUCCCCUCUACACACACAAAUUCUACAUCAUAAGUGGUCUAGUCUUGUAUUCAUCACAGUGAUGACUAGCUCUCACUUGCAAGCAUGGCCCUAAGGACCGGCUGUGUUUCUGUGAGCGCAUCUCCUCAUGAUGGAGCAGACCAGGCAGGAGAAGGAAGAAACCCUAAGCUUCCUCAGUUCUUUCAUCUAAUUCGGGCUGAACAUGGUGGGUUAAAGCUGAGACUGGUUGUGUAACAGAGCACUUAGGUUCCUGCAGCUUGAAUCUCCCAGGCUUUCUGUGAAGAGCAGAGCAGCUACAGGGAGGCUAUUAUGCCCUAUAAAGCUGUUUAUCUCUCUUAAGCUACAUGGCUCCUUCCUCUCUUAAGGUUGUGUUCAACCAGGUUCGGGUGUGAAAUGUCACUCAGGGAAGUGACCUCGAGGAGGUCGUUACUGAGGCCGGGUAUCUCUUCCUGAACGUGGGGAAGACUGAAUUGGGGGACAUUUGGAUUUCGCUCCCGUCAAUUGUUCCUGCUAGCUAUUUAGAUGAAAUAAAUGGAAUAUCACUUAAUAGGCACAGGCGUUGAUACAAUUUCCUCUCCAAAGAUCUGAUUCCUAGCAUCCGAAGGCAACGAAUUCAAGUUAGUAUUGAACUUGAAUUUGUUCUGCCAGAGUGAAAAUUGGUUCCAUUAGGCAUCAGUCACAGAACUCCUGGAGACCUGACUGGCGCUGUGACUGCGCUCUCUCCAACUAGCUGCACCAGUAACGUGUCUUAAGUAAUGCUGGGUGCGCUCUGGGAAACCAUCCAGGGAGGUUGGAUUGUUUUCUAAAUUAAAGUUUCUUAAUUUGAUAUUCUUCAUAAAUCUGGACCAAGUUUAAUUAAGGUCAUCGGUGUGGGCAAAGCCUUAAGGAAGGACCACUUAGAGGGCACAUGAUAUUUGGAAUAACUUAGAAUAUGAAAUAUUCCAUUGUGUACUCUCUUUCACAGGGACUCUUUCCUUAACAUUUUUUUUCUCACUUACCUAUAUUUCUACUUCCUUCUCAUUGCAGAUUUAUAGCUCUCUGGGGAAACUCCUGGAAGAAGUAAUAUAUCUGACAGAUAUACUAUCCAAAGGCUUAGAAGUUAGUAUCUGACUAGAUAAACAAAAAUCUAAACAAUAGCUGCAGGAAAGAAAGGAACAAACAAGCCAGUUUGGUCUGAGAAAUCAGAACUACGGGGGCUGGUGAGAUGGCUCAGUGGGUAAGAGCACCCGACUGCUCUUCCGAAGGUCCGGAGUUCAAAUCCCAGCAACCACAUGGUGGCUCACAACCAUCUGUAACAAGAUCUGACACUCCCUCUUCUGGAGUGUCUGAAGACAGCUACAGUGUACUUACAUAUAAUAAAUAAAUAAAUCUUUAAAAAAAAAAAAAGAAAUCAGAACUAC